AUACGUAGGUGACAAGCGUUAUCCGGAUUUACUGGGCGUAAAGGGCGUGUAGGCGGUCUUGCAAGUCAGAAGUGAAAUUCCUGAGCUCAACUCGGGCGCUGCUUCUGAAACUGCAGGACUUGAGUGCUGGAGGGGAUAGCGGAAUUCCUAGUGGAGCGGUAAAAUGCGCAGAUAUUAGGAAGAACACCGGUGGCGAAGGCGGCUAUCUGGACAGUAACUGACGCUGAGGCGCGAAAGCGUGGGGAGCAAACAGGAUUAGAUACCCUGGUAGUCCACACUGUAAACGAUGAUAACUCGCUGUCGGCGAUAUACAGUCGGUGGCCAAGCGAAAGCGAUAAGUUAUCCACCUGGGGAGUACGACCGCAAGGUUGAAACUCAAAUGAAUUGACGGGG
rnacentral:rRNA from 1 species